rnacentral:rRNA from 1 species
CAAUAGCGUAUAUUAAAGUUGUUGCGGUUAAAAAGCUCGUAGUUGGAUUUCUGCCGAGGACGACCGGUCCGCCCUCCGGGUGAGCAUCUGGCUCGGCCUAGGCAUCUUCUUGGGGAGCGUAUCUGCACUUCAUUGUGUGGUGCGGUAUCCAAGACUUUUACUUUGAGGAAAUUAGAGUGUUUCAAGCAGGCCCACGCCUUGAAUACAUUAGCAUGGAAUAAUAAGGUAGGACCUCGGUUCUAUUUUGUUGGUUUCUAGAAUUGAGGUAAUGAUUAAUAGGGAUAGUUGGGGGCAUUCGUAUUUAACUGUCAGAGGCGAAAUUCUUGGAUUUGUUAAAGACGGACUACUGCGAAAGCAUUUGCCAAGGAUGUUUUCAUUGA